rnacentral:rRNA from 1 species
UACGAAGGGGGCUAGCGUUGUUCGGAAUUACUGGGCGUAAAGCGCACGUAGGCGGAUAUUUAAGUCAGGGGUGAAAUCCCAGAGCUCAACUCUGGAACUGCCUUUGAUACUGGGUAUCUUGAGUAUGGAAGAGGUAAGUGGAAUUGCGAGUGUAGAGGUGAAAUUCGUAGAUAUUCGGAGGAACACCAGUGGCGAAGGGCGGCUCACUGG